rnacentral:rRNA from 1 species
GUUGGGCCUGCUCGGUGAGAAGAAAAAUUUAACAGCUGCGGUAUUAUAACUGUACUAAGGUAGCAUAAUAAUUUGCCUUAUAAAUUAAGGCUAGAAUGAAUGGUUUGACGAAAAUUAGACUGUCUUUAUUUUAUUUGUUAGAAAUUAAUUUUUAUAGUGAAAAAGCUUGAAUAAUUUAAGGGGACGAGAAGACCCUAUUGAGCUUUAUUUAUUAAUAUUUAAAUAUAAAUAUAUAAUUUAUAUUAUGAAAAUUAUGUUGUAUAUAUACAUAUAUUUAAUUGGAUUUAAUUUUGAUUGGGGUGAUCAAGGAAUAAAGAUAAAGUAACUUCCUUAAAAUUAAUGAUUGUUUUUAUAGAGUAAUAAACCAAGUUUUUUGCUUAUAAGAUAAGUUACCAUAGGGGUAACAGCGUAAUUUUUUUUGAGAGUUCAUAUUGAAAAAAGAGAUUGCGACCUCGAUGUUGGAUUAAAAAUUACCUUAAGG